GUGAUGUGAAGCGGCUGCUAUCCGAGCUGUGAAGAGGAUGGGACGAGCUGA
rnacentral:snoRNA from 1 species